rnacentral:lncRNA from 1 species
CAUUUUUUAGUAAUAGGUUAUUUUAAAGAAUAUUUUCAUACAUGUUUUAUACUAUCCAUAUACCAGGAAUUCAGGAUUUUGGUAGUAACUAAUUCUGCUUGAUGAUAUCAAUGGGAAAUUGUUCCCAGUCCUGAUAUCUUCAGAAACAAAAUUUCAGGUGUUUGGAUUCUGACAGAUCCUGUUUUACCUGCUGCUGCAGCGGCAGCGUAGUGAUACAUGUGCAGGAAUCUAUUGAUAAUGAGAGCUACAACAGGGGAAUGCUAUGGAAACCAGUGCUCUUUGCAGUCGCUGCUAUAGUCUCAGAUUAGCCUUAGCUCCUGCAUGUUAGCAUGUGCUAUACAUUAACAGGACUGUUCCUAAAUAGUAGAUGAUCUGAAUUCUUUUUGAAAUUGUAGCAUACUGUUUUGGAUGACUAUUUACACAAUUUCCCGGUAAGAAAUCUGCAUGAAGGUACACAUAUCGACCUAUUGCAACAUACUGAUAUUGCCCAAAAGACUGAAUAAGUGAGCAGAGCUACUAGGAGCUUUUCUAGCAGUUUGGAAGCAGGAGAAGAGAGGGAUGGAAGGAGGUCAGGCUUGGGAGUAAAAUACCUCUGAGUCACCUAGCAUUUCUGUAUUGUGUCCCAGCUGUGAUGGUGGCCACGUUAUGAUGCAAUGUCCCAAGUAUGAUGUCAAGAUAAACUCUGGAGCUCUCUCAAAGAGAAAUGAUGCUUCUAUUCAGCACUAACAGUUUAACAAAGCCACCUCACAGUUCAGUUAUUUUGAUGUUCUUUUGCUGGUUUUGCUGAGCUUUGUUUUUUUUUUUCCUCUUCCUUGUGAGAUGCAGGCAAUUUUAUGAGUCUAGUCCUCUUCCCAGGCACCUGCUCUGCAUGAACCCAGUGAAGCUACCUCUGUGGAAAUGAUGCCGAGGCAAAAGAUGUGUAGAGAGGGAUGAAGAAAAAUGCUCAGCAGUGACCUACAGAAGAGUGUGAUAGUCAUGUCGAAACCCCCUCGGCCCUGCAAAAUGCCGAGCGCGGGCCCUGAGCCAGCUGACCAGAGGACGGCGGGUGAGGGCAGACUUGCUGUCCGCCAGGAGGCUGAGCAGGACCCAGCGCGGGGGAAGCACUCCUGGAGCCACGUUAUUCAGGACUUUUGGUGCCGAUGCUUUAAAGAGUGCAGUCCCUUCUGAGGCAGAUGCUCUGCCUUCAUAUUCUGUUUGUACCUCUGUCAGCACAUUUUCGGCUCUGCUAUAUUAUGCAUAGGGCUAUGUCUAAACUGCUUGCCGAUGAAAGACCGUGCAUUUAAUAUUCAUAAUAAGAUCACCUUUAUAAUUGCUGUAUAAGUAGUGCCAGUUGAAUUAGCACUGUGUUUGGAGUCUAUACAUUGGCAUUGUCACUAUGACAGGGGUUUCACGUCAAUACACAGUAGCAAUUAGCAGCGAUUGCCACUUGAUGUCACUGUUGUCGUUCAAACCCAUAGCUGAAAAAGGCCUGCUAGCUGCUUUUCAAUACUGGAACAUGAAUGUGACGUUUCAGGUAAGCGGUAUUACACACCUUUUCAAACAGCUGUAUAAAUCGUCAGCUUUGUUUGAAACAAUCUUGGGAUAGAUUUUCUUCUGCAUUCUUCCACUUUCUUCAAGUACGUGUGGAACAUGAAUGUAAUCAAAGCUUUUGCC